GUACGAGCUUCCGCUUUCGAAAGAGUGAUAAUAUCGAAGGAAGUAUCAUUGGCAUGUGACAACAGAACAAGCAAAUGUGGCCUGUUAUGAACCAGGCCACCAACUUAUCAAAAUGGGAAACUGUCUAGCAAGAUGUUGUGGCAAGCUAGACAGGAGGAGAAAUUACUUCAAGUCAAGAGAUAGCACAGACCAGUUUCAGUCAAUAGAGUUUGAAAACUUGAUGGAUGAUGAUACACCACAGGAUGAGAUGAGCCGACUGUUGACUGACCGAGAGGUACAGCUGCUGAAGUCCCGACAGUUUGAUGUCAUAGUGCAUGAACAAAAGCGAAUUGAUCAAGAGUUAGAGAUAAAGCUGUCUCAUCAAGAAGAGGAGCUGAAAAGAGAAGAAGAGGCCUAUUUUGAAGCCAAGCGAGAAGCAGCUUACAUUGCCAAACUCCAGAGAGCCAAAGAAAAAACUGCUAUAAAGAAUGCCUCCAUUAACGGGUCUCGUUCAUGGCUGGGUGAUGAUGAGGAAUGGGAAGUUGCAGGAGGAGAGGAUGAUUUUGAAAUUUUUCUGGCAAAUGUUAAAGCAAGAUCCUUAGCUGCACGUGCACAGAUACAUGCAAGUUAUGGGGAUGUAAACAGCUCAAGCAGCAGCACAGCCAAACUAAAGACCGGUCUUUGACAGAAGGAUCAUCCCUUGAUCUCGAAUGGGACCAUGAGGCAGAUGGGCAAUAAGUGCAACCUUUUUUUGAAAGUUUCUGUUUUUGUUGAUGGGGUGGAGCCAGAGAUAAAACCUCGUUCACACACAGAAGAAGACUUGACUGAACUUGUGUACAAGACACGGGCAGAAACUAGUAGCUCAUUACAUUCCAGUGACCUUGAAUGGGAUGAUACAUUUGUUAGUGCAGAUGAGACUGAACGCCAGCAGUUGAUCAGAAUUAGCUGCAAGGAUGAGAUAAGGUGAUACCAUGAGAAGUUUUGUAUCUGUGAGGAUCUGUGUAGUGUGACUGCAGGAUAGAAUGAUAGUGACACUUCUGCAUUCCAAAAAGCCGUAUAUAGAUUCAGAUUAGACAUAACUGUCCCUCCUGAAAAUGCAGUGCUCUGUAUGAGGCCAUUGGUGGAUGCAUGUCAAGAUAUGCUCUUCAUCUGCAUUGAUAUCAAAUUGCUGCCCCUUAUUUUUGGCUUUAGAAUCACAAGCACUCCCAUUCACAUUUUUCAUGAGUAUUGCAGCAUAAGAAAAUUAAAAAAGAAGCACUCAUAUUUUUCAGAGGUCUUUGAAAUUUAAAAAAGGCUAAAAAUGCCUCUUCUGUUUUUCAUAAGAAGUCUUUUUUUUAACAGAUAAUAAUUAUUCCAAAAGGCAUUUUUACCAGUUUGCUGCUUUAUGAAACUCAUGAGGUUCAGCGGAAACUGUCAGUAUGUUUUCCAGCAAUGAUUGCUUGUGAUUUCAAGAAAAUAAGACUGAAAAUUUUAUUUCAAGAGAUUUUGGAGUAUUUUAAAAUGCAUAAUCCAUGACACAUAAUCUCAAAUUUCAUUUCUUUUAAUAUCUUAGUUGGUUCCAUUUGAAGUUCAGCUUUGCAUUCAAUUUAAAUGUUAAAGUGUUAGAUUGCCGAUGUCAUAAUUUUAUCCUUUGGUCAGUUGGAUGAAUGGUCAGAGAAUAGAGUGAUAAUAAUUAAUUUAUUUUUUAAUAAAUGAUGACCUUGAGGGUUGUUACGGAAUGUUUGACUCAGUUCUGGUUUGUUAAAGUGGCCACCAAAAAAAUACUGUAGAUUUUUUAAUAUUAUUUUUAGCAGGCGCUGCAAAAUUCAUGCAUAUUAAUGUGAGAGCAUUGAUAUUGUGUGUGCAUGUGAAGAUGCAUUUAUGUGCAGUGAGGAUGCAUUUAUCUGUAAAGCACUCUUUCAUGCUGGUCUAAAAGGAAGAAGCUUAACAAGCAGUUGAUAGAAUCGCUGUGUAAAUAUGUAUUGUAUGUGGUGUAUACUUCUUUGUGUCAAAUGAAAGCAGGUAACUGCUUAAUCCAUCCAGAGGUUAUGUAUAGUGGGUCAGUCAUCAUUUCUUGUCCAUGUGGCUGAGAAAUCCUCCGUCUUCAUUUGUAAAAAUGUAAAUAAAACUUUCUAACACCUU